rnacentral:rRNA from 1 species
UAGGGAAUCUUCGGCAAUGGACGAAAGUCUGACCGAGCAACGCCGCGUGAGUGAAGAAGGUUUUCGGAUCGUAAAACUCUGUUGUUAGAGAGAACAAGGACGUUAGUAACUGAACGUCCCCUGACGGUAUCUAACCAGAAAGCCACGGCUAACUACGUGCCAGCAGCCGCGGUAAUACGUAGGUGGCAAGCGUUGUCCGGAUUUAUUGGGCGUAAAGCGAGCGCAGGCGGUUUCUUAAGUCUGAUGUGAAAGCCCCCGGCUCAACCGGGGAGGGUCAUUGGAAACUGGGAGACUUGAGUGCAGAAGAGGAGAGUGGAAUUCCAUGUGUAGCGGUGAAAUGCGUAGAUAUAUGGAGGAACACCAGUGGCGAAGGCGGCUCUCUGGUCUGUAACUGACGCUGAGGCUCGAAAGCGUGGGGAGCAAACAGG